UUUCCUACGCUAAAAACCACUGAGUGGAGUAUUUAGUACACAGGAAGUCGGCCAGAGAAACAUUUCUCAUAUUUGAAGGCCGGAAAGAGGGACAUUUCUGACACCGGAAGUCAGUGAGAGGACUCUUUCCCACACAGGAAGUCAGCUAGAGAGCCGUCUCCCCUCUCUGGAGCCGAGAGAGGCCGGUUUCCCCCACCACUCUCAGGGUAAAGAAGGAAAUGAGAAAUUGCAAGACAGAGUAUUUCUUAGGCAAUGGCUGAGAAUGGCAACUCACCACAUGCCUUUGAAUAAGACGUGAUUAUUAUUAACCCAUAUUCUAUCAAAGAAGAAACUGAGGCUCAGAGAGGCAACUUACUUGCCAAAGGUCACUCUGCUGGUAGCCCACCUGGGAGGAAUUUUCCAGAGAUCACUGUCUGAUGACCCUGUCUUGGAAUUGGAGCCAUGCAAGUUACACUGACCACGUUUGGGUUGGGAUAUUGAGGAGGUUAUGGUUAAAAGCAUACGAUGGGAGAUCAUAUUGUACUUGCGAGUGAGACCCGGCUGGAGGAAUGUUUUAAUUCUUCGGAAAUACCAAGUGGUCUCUACAGAACACUGAAGAUUCUGCUCUCAGGGUGUUGAUUGACGUCUGGAAGGCAGAGACUCGUGGAUUAGCAAGCAUGUGACAACAUCCAGAGGUGUCCAGAAAGAAGGUGGCCUUGACCAGAAUUCCUCAGCCUUGGCUGCACAUGAGAACCAGUGAGGGAGCCCUAAAAACGCUGAUGCCCAGGCUCCACCCAGACCUAUAGGUGCAGAACCUCUAGGGGAGGGCCCAGCCAUCGCGCUUUGAAAAAUCUCCUCAGGUCUCACAUGAGUACUUCACAAUGGGGAAACUGAACUGGAACUCUACUGACAACGCAGUUGGGAGUUCAAACUUAAUAACCUUCCAGAGUUGGUAUCAAAUUCAGACGCUGACGCUCCUUGGAGAGGUUCUUUGCUGCAAGAGGAUGGAAAGGAUCACUGUGAUUUUGUUUUUCUCCUGCUGCUCUGUCUGGAAGCCAUGUGAGGAGGACAUCUGAGCAGCCCUGUGGAGAGGCCCCCAGCCAACAGCCAGCAUGAACUUGCUGGGCAUGUGAGUGCACCACCUUGAAAGUAGAGCCUCAACCCCUGGUCAAGCCAUCAGGGAGAGCUCAAGCUGGCCUGUUGGAAGAUGACAGGCCAUAUGCAACAGACGUGAAGUGUCCCAGCUGAUCCCCUUCCAGAACACCCACCUUCCAGAUGACCACAGAUGCAAGGGUGAGCCAGCCAAUAGCUGCUGAGACAUUCCCAGAAAGACAGAACAUCCAGCUGACCCAUGGACUCAUGGGCGAUCAUGGAUAAAUGGAUAUUGUUUCAAGCUA
ensembl:lncRNA MIATNB MIAT neighbor